rnacentral:rRNA from 1 species
UACGAAGGGGGCUAGCGUUGUUCGGAAUUACUGGGCGUAAAGGGCGCGUAGGCUGUGCUGUAAGUCAGGCGUGAAAGCCCCGGGCUCAACCUGGGAAUUGCGCUUGAUACUGCGGCGCUGGAAGGUGGGAGAGGAUGGCGGAAUUCCCGGUGUAGAGGUGAAAUUCGUAGAUAUUGGGAAGAACACCGGUGGCGAAGGCGGCUCUCUGGACCGACACUGACGCUGAGGCGCGAAAGCGUGGGGAGCAAACAGG